UACAAUAUAAUUAUUCUUGACCAGUAUUAUUAAAUAAAUAUUCAUGAUUCUACUUAACUAAGAUACUAAGUUUCUUGAAGGUAACAGCAGUAUAGUUUAGCGAAAAGAAAAUACAUUUUUAAAGUCAGACCAAACUGGGUAAAUUUAUGCUUAUGUCACACUUUAGCUGUGUGGCUUUGGGUAAAGUGAUUUAUCUUUCUGAUCCGCGAAGAGAUUAAAAGGGGAUUUUUAACAUAAUUCUCUGGGUAGGUAUAAGGAUUAUAUGAGAUAAUAGAUGUAAAACAUCUAUCCCAGUUCCAAGAACGGUUAUCAAUAAGAGCUUAUUUUGCCUCCUUCUAUUUGCAUUCCCUUUCAGCAUAUCUCAGUUGAUUAAUGAAGAGCUGUUAUGGGAUCUAUUUUAUAAGGCUUUGGAAUGACCCUUUGGAGCUAUGUUUCAGGGGGCAGAAUUUAGCAAAUAUUCCUAAGUCCACAUAAUAUGAAUGGAGUCACCAGAAGAGAAAGCUCUCCUUCAUUCUGUCUUCAUUGCCGUCUUGAACUUUUAAAUCGGGGGUCAGACUCACUAACGUGAGAAGAAAGGUAGAUGAGAAGCGAAGCCCAUGGCUCAAAGGGGAUGAGGACAGUGAGACGACACAGUCUGGUCUGAGAAGUUGGCACCCUUGAAGAAGCUGGUAAAUCUCAGGGCUUGGACUCCAAUGCCUCCCAAGGCCUUAGGGAAUUUGAAUGGCACAUCAACCACCCUAUACAGCAGAAAACAGAGGCCAAAGUGUUUCAGUGUGGCCCUACUUGACAACCCCAAGGACUCAGGAGGGAGAUUGGCUGGUCAAAUAGGAGUCACCAGCAGGGGAAAAGAUUAAAGUACAAGGCUUCUGAACCACACAGAUAAAUCAGCAAGGAGAGUUGGAAGGCAUCCUGCACCUUGAGGCCCCUUAGAAAACAGCUAUCAAACCACAGAGGAGACAACAAAGAAUUUCCUUUAUUUCUUACUGAAGUAACCACAGUAGUAGAGACUGGAAAAGGGGACUGACUCUCUGGACUUUAGUUUAGCCUUCUGUCUAUCUGCCUGUCUGUCCCGUCACACAAUGGGCACCAGUGGAUACUAUAACAGCCUAUAAAUGCUAGACAAUCAAAAAAUGAAUAAACAAGUGAAAAAAAUGAAUGAAUGAAAACUC
rnacentral:lncRNA from 1 species